rnacentral:tRNA from 1 species
CCGGCACCAGCGUGGACGGGGAGAACGCGGCCUGCUCGAUCUCGGCGAAGAAGUCUUGCGGGUUCCGGUUCAGCUCCAGGGUGCCGACC